rnacentral:rRNA from 1 species
GCUCCAAUAGCGUAUAUUAAAGUUGUUGCGGUUAAAAAGCUCGUAGUUGGAUUUCUGUCGAGGACGGUCGGUCCACACUUUGUGUGAGUAUCUGAUUCGGCCUUGGCAUCCUCUUGAAAAACGUUUCUGCGCUUGAUUGCGUGGAGCGGAGUUCAAGACUUUUUACUUUGAGGAAAUUAGAGUGUUCACGGCAGGCAAAC